UACAGAGGGUGCAAGCGUUGUUCGGAAUUAUUGGGCGUAAAGCGCGUGUAGGCGGCUUGGUAAGUCGGGUGUGAAAUCCCUCAGCUCAACUGAGGAAGUGCGCCCGAAACUACUUUGCUUGAGUGUCGGAGAGGAUGGCGGAAUUCCCCAAGUAGAGGUGAAAUUCGUAGAUAUGGGGAGGAACACCGGUGGCGAAGGCGGCCAUCUGGACGAUUACUGACGCUGAGACGCGAAAGCGUGGGGAGCAAACAGG
rnacentral:rRNA from 1 species